AGGGACCUAUGCUCAGAGGCAGAAAAUGACAAUUAUAAAGGAAAACAGAAAAGGAAGUGGAAGUGAAAAAAGAGAGACGAUUGUAAAGCCCAUGCCUGUGACUCCAGAGGACUUUCUGGAAGCUACUGGAAUCAUUUUGCCCACGUGGAAGUACCUGGGAGUUUAGGUUUCCCCCAUCCAGUGAUUAGCUGUUAGCCAACGUCCCAUAGUGCAAGAAUAUGAAAGUCUUGACUGGGGAAGAGGGGACAACUCUGAGGGGUUACUUACACUCCAGAGGUCCUCCGUGGGAUCAGGCUGAAGCUACCCUUCCGAGGACUUUGCCUGAAAUCUGGCCGUUGUUUGGUUCCCUUUCCUACUUGUCUCAUUAAUGACGAAGUUUCUCCUGAAAGCACUUCCUUACUAAAUCACUGGCUCAUGAAUACCCUAUCAGGACCAGCUUUUGGCGAAUCCAUCUUAAGACAAUGGUGUUUCUCCAAGUGAUAACUGCAUCAGAAUCACCUGGAAGCUUAUGAAAAAUGUUAAAAAUGUUGAUUCCUGGGCCCCACCCAAGACAUACUGAACCUGAAUCUCCUGGAACAUGUUGCAGGGAUGUGUAUUUUUAUGAGCUCCACAAGUAAGUCUAGUACACCUAAAAAUUAAGAACCACUGUUCUGACACUGGCUGCUGAAUAAGCUCUCUGGAAACAAGGAUCCAGGGCUGAUUUCAUCACUAGGUUGGAGAAGGCAUAAGAAAUGCAAAAGAGCACUCCAGGGAGCAGAAGAGGACCUGACUACAAAUGUGUUUCCUUCCCCAUUUCUUCUGGUGCUAGUCCUGUAAACCUCUGUCUAAAGAUUCAUUUUGUGUGGUAUAUAUACAUACAUAUGUAUACACACACAGUGGAAUAUUAUUCAGCCAUAAAAAAUGAAAUCAAUUCUUUUGCAGCAACAUGUAUGGAACUGGAAGCCAUUGUCUUACGUGAAAAACUCAGAAACAGUCAAAUACUGCAUGUUCUCACUUAUAACGCAGAGCUAAACAAUGUGUGAAUAUGGACAUGGCAUAUGGAAUAAUAGACAUUGGAGACUCAGAAGGGUGAGAGGGGUUCAGGGAUGAGAAAUUACUUAAUGAGUACAAUGUGCAUUGUUCAGGUGAUGGUUAUGCUACAAGCCCAGACUUCGCCACUAUGCAAUGUAUCUGUGUAACAAAUUGUACUAGUACCAUACAAAUAAAAAUGAUUCAUUUUGCCCUC